GACGAACCGUGCGAACGUUGUUCGGAUUCACUGGGCUUAAAGGGCGCGUAGGCGGCUUGCCAAGUCAGGGGUGAAAUCUUUCGGCUCAACCGGAAAAGUGCCUUUGAUACUGGCGAGCUAGAGGGAGGUAGGGGUGCGUGGAACUUCUGGUGGAGCGGUGAAAUGCGUAGAUAUCAGAAGGAACGCCGGUGGCGAAAGCGACGCACUGGAUCUCUACUGACGCUGAGGCGCGAAAGCGUGGGGAGCAAACAGG
rnacentral:rRNA from 1 species